rnacentral:tRNA from 1 species
GGCGCGGCAGUCCAUAAGGCGCCUGAACGGGUUGCUUCGCCUGUUAAGCGACGUGUCGUUGGUUCGAGUCCAACUCCCGCCU